rnacentral:rRNA from 1 species
GACAGAGGGUGCAAACGUUGCUCGGAAUUACUGGGCGUAAAGCGCGUGUAGGCGGGCUGAUAAGUCGGACGUGAAAUCCCUGGGCUCAACCCAGGAACUGCAUCCGAAACUGUCAGUCUGGAGUGGUGGAGAGGGAAGCAGAAUUCCUGGUGUAGAGGUGAAAUUCGUAGAUAUCAGGAGGAACACCGGUGGCGAAGGCGGCUUCCUGGACACUAACUGACGCUGAGACGCGAAAGCGUGGGGAGCAAACGGG